rnacentral:rRNA from 1 species
AACGAACGCUGGCGGCAGGCUUAACACAUGCAGGUCGAGCGCCCCGCAAGGGGAGCGGCAGACGGGUGAGUAACGCGUGGGAACGUACCCUUUGCUACGGAAUAGCUCCGGGAAACUGGAAUUUAUACCGUUUGGACCCUACGGGGGAAAGAUUUAUCGGCAAAGGAUCGGCCCGCGUGGGAUUAGCUAGUUGGUGGGGUCAUGGCGUACCAAGGAGACGAUCCAUAGCUGGUCUGAGAGGAUCAUCAGCCACAUUGGGACUGAGACACGGCCCAAACUCCUGCGGGGGACAGCAGUGGGGAAUAUUGGACAAUGGGCGCAAGCCUGAUCCAGCCAUGCCGCGUGAGUGAUGAAGGCCUUAGGGUUGUAAAGCUCUUUCACCGGAGAAGAUAAUGACGGUAUCCGGAGAAGAAGCCCCGGCUAACUUCGUGCCAGCCGCCGCGGUAACAC